ACCGCCCUCCUUCUCUCCGUGCGCUGCUUUCAGUCACAGAAUCACGGAAUAGACUGGGCUGAGAAAGGGCCGGGAGGUCAUCCAGUCCUCAGCCGGGAGGUCAUCCAGUCCAGCCUGUGAGCGAACACCACCAUGUCAGCUAGACCACGGCACGAAGUGCCACGUCCAGUCUUUCCUUAAACACUUCCAAGGACGGUGACUUCACCGCUUCCCUGGUCAGCCCAUUCCAGUAUCGAGUCGCCCUUUCUGUGAAGAAUUUUUUCCUAAUGUCCAACCUGAACCACCUAUGAUGCAGCUUAGCACUAUGUCCUCUCAGCCUGUCGCUGGUUGUCCGGGAGGAGAGACCGACGCUCACCCGGCUACAACUUCAUUGGAGGGAGCUGUUGAGGGCUAUAAUGUCACCUCCGAGCCUCCUUCUCUCCCGGGGGACUAAGCAUCCCCAGGUCUGUCAGCUGCUCCUUCUAAGAUUUCUGCUCCAGACUCUUCAGCCAUUCCAUUCCCCCCUCUCUGGACUUGCUCCAGUACCCAAAUAUCGUUCUUGGAUUGACGAGCCCAAAACUGGAUGCAGAAUCCAAGAUGCGGCAGUGCUUGGGUGAGACCCAAGGGGUCCUGGAACCCCUGGGCCAGAAAGGUGAACUGUAGUCCCACCUUGCCUCAUUGAUAGCCAAAAGAAGAUAUGGACUCGUGAGGAGGACCCUGGAUCAACUGCUGUGUCUUAAGAGCUUUUUUCAGCUGUUUUCCCCCUUUUUUUAAAGAUAAGAAUCUCACAAGCAUUCUCAGUAUGAUUUUAUAAUGCAUGCAUGCAGUAAUUCAAGAUACAAUAAGCACAUGGUAGUUCAAAGUAAAAUAACACACUCAGCUUUUUUUUCCCCAGUAAUUAAGACAUGUCAGGUUUGCUCUGCAUUCUUUGACAGUUUAUUCAUAUUUGGCCUGCUUACAUUAAAUCAGCAGCGCUUUUGAGUUACUGAUAGAACUCCACCAGCUUCACUGGUGUCACGUUUUCCCUCUCCCAGUAAUUUUUCAAAAUUACUUUUUGUUCUUUUCUACUAAUAAUGAAUUUGUUUUCUGUAUUUGAGUAGGAUGAAUUUUUAUUCUAGUCAAUCUGAAAUUCAAUUCAUCAAAAAUAUGUCAUGUUUUUUAGGGGAAAAAAAGUUUAUUCUUACUUUCACAAUAUAAGCAGUGUGUAUUUCAAUCAUAUAUAGUCAAACUUUAAGUGAAGAUUAUUAAUAGUGUGGUUUAUAGUUCCUAUCAGCUCUGCAUACUUUCCAUCUGAUUAUUUGAAAUUUGUUCUUUAGGAACACUUUAAUUUUCAGUCUGAGACAGUAUAGCCUUAAAUAACCAGUGUUGUCCCUCGGAUCACCUUUGAUCUUUAAUUCAUGUUUCAUAAACACCUUUAAGGAAACUGAAAUACAUUAUUAUGAAGUAAGCAUAGAUUUUCCAGGCAGUGACUGUUUCCAUAAAUGUAAUGUUCUCAGAACAAAAAUUGCUAUUUUUUAAUAUAUACAGACUUUAUUAAUAUUAGCCUGAUGUUGAUUUCUUGAGUGAAUUUACAAUGAAGACCCAUAGAGAAUCAUAGAAUAGUUUGGGUUGGAAGGGACCCUAAAUAUCAUCAAGUUCCAACCCCCAAUCUUAUCUCAGGAUGACAAAGCCUUAAAAUUAUGGAGUAAGUCACAUAUUUUCAGCCUAAAUGUGUUUGUUGCAAAAAGAACACAUAUUCUGUGACUUACAUCCUGCCAAUUCUGUUGUCUUCAUUUGCCACACACUAAGAGCUUGUAGAAAAGGAAAGAGGGUUUUAUUGAUAUGUAUGUCAUAUACCUCUUUUUCAUAUAGGUAUAACAGCACCAAAGAGUUUAUUCAGGGCAUUUUGUUUGAAUUAAAUUUCAACCAUGGAGUUCUUUGGGUACCAUGGUGGUGCAUGUCUUAAAUACAUCAUAGGAUAUCAUGAGGUGUUAUAGUUCAGCCAUGUAAGCCCUUUGUCUUGUGAGUUCUUUAUCAUGGCAGAUACAGCUAUUAAUUAGAACAUUCAAAUUUAGGGAGCAUUAAUAAUGUUUCGGUGUUUCUUUUCACAUUUGUAGUUAAUGUCUUUUACACAUCAUUAUUAUUUUCAGGAUGCUGUCUAGCAAGGAAGAAGCAUUUGUCACAAAGAACAGCACUUAUGAAACUGGAGAGAUGGAAGAUCACAAAAUCAUAGUUAGUUUAGUUUCCUGGUUACUGUAAAAAGAAGAUUAAAUCACACAGGUACUCCAUCAAGACAUUCUGCAGGGUUACCUGCAUGACACAGAGUGGCUCUCUGGGGCACACCCAGCUAACACAAGCAGAACUGAACAGUCUGAACAGAAGAGGAUGCUUUCCCAAUGUUGUCUUUACAAAAUGGGAAAUAAGGAUCCUCAAAGGCAUAAUGUGCUUGUACUUUGAAAACAUACUGAGAACAGAGGAAAUAUAUAUUUGUACAGGUACAUGAUCAAAACAAGCACAAGAUGCUUUAGCUUUUCUUCUUACCUGAAGAAGUUAUGUGGUCUAAAAAUCAGGGUUAUUCUGUAGACAAGUCUCUUGUUACAUCCCCAGUAGCUGAAUUUUUAGACAUUGUCUUUGGCAUUUCUUUGGCACAUAGUCCAAAGGACCAUAGUCCUUUCUUUUCUACACAGUUGUUGUCUGAGUGAAUACUAUAUAUUUCCAUAGGAAUUUCAGACAUCUGGCAGCUGAGUUGAAAUAUACUUCUCUCUCUGUUUGGUGUGUCCCUUCCCUCUACCUUGCCCUGGGUCUGCAUUGAGCUUCUUUGAAUUGUUGGGCAAUACAACGUUCUUAUCUCCUCUUUGCUUUGACAUCCCCUGCACCCUGGAUAUUUUCUGCAGAACUUUUCAUCAUCCCCUCAGUGUGUUCAUUCUUCCUGAGAGUGAUAACUUGCACUUGCCUUCACAUGAGUGUAUUGUAAAUUCCUCAACCCAUUUUUUUGGUUGGUCAAGAUUCAAUACUAGUCCUGUCCUUCAAUAUACUUUCCUGGCUUUCUGACAUGUGCAAUUUUAAUAAGCAUGCUCUCAAAACAGCUCAGCAGUAAAAAUUACAUGAAUGAGUUAAUCUAAGAGGUGGAAGAGAUCUGAAGAAUGGUAUUUAGUAUAUCCUGUCAACUCAUGCUAACUCCUCUGGAAAUGUUUUACAGUCAUUUUUUUGCACCCAUCUUGCAAACGUGCAAUAGCAACAAUAGCAAAAUAGCUUUAUCUUUUCUAUGGCCCUGGUUCAUCAUUCCUGACUUUAGAGGCUUAACCUGGAGAGUAGUUGCCUAAGGCUAAUUUCAUAGUCAAUAAUUAAGGGAAAGACAGCAGGUCCUUCAAGUUGUUCUUUGAAGUUGCCUUUCUCUUCACUGAAAGGAAGGAACAUGGCGUAACCUUUGUCCUAAUUUAAGUGUACUUCAGUUAGUGUCUGUGAAGUCAAUCAGAUGAAGUGGCAUAUGUGAUGGUUUCUGACAGUGUCAGGGUGGGCCAUGGAGAAGGACGGUGUCAGCCAAGACAAGCUAAGUCACGUGUGCUGUGUUCCCAUUAGCUACAGGUUUUGUCACUGCUGGAGAGGUAGAUAAAGUCGGUUUGACUUGUCUGGGCAGACUGCUUGUUUGCUUUUGCUUCAGUUUCUGGUAUUUUAAAUUAUAUAGAAAUCUGUUCAGAAUAUUUUCAAUAUUUGUAAUAACUUCAAUUUCACUAAACUGACAGUGGCUAAUUGAUAUAUACCAAUUCUACACCAAAACCAGCAAGCUGGAGCAGAAAGUUGAAGAGUGAUCCCAGAGCAUUUCAUCUUUUAAUUUGCUUUCAGCCCUAAGAAUCAUCCUCUAUGCUUAAUUUAAGAGUGGAGCUUUACUGACAAGUUAUAGCCUCCAGGAACGGGACUGACUGUGGAAACAGGCUAACCAAAGUCAGUUCUAAACACUGCUACAGACUGUCACAAGUUUAAUAUGGGUUCAAAGCCAGCUUUCUCUAACUCCAUUGAAGAUAUUAUUGGGAAUAAUUCUUUCUAAAUGCACUUCUAAAAAGCUUUAGCUAGAGUGCACACAGCUUAACUGGUCUCAGCCACCGGAGUUCUGUUUUUUCAAUGAUUAUAGUUACCUGGACAAAAAUCCUCACUCUACAGUUUAAAUGACUAAGGGCGUUGGUGUCAGCAUAAGCCUGUGGAGAAAGCUUCUCUUUGUGUCAUUUUUAUAUGAAUAAUAACAGCUGAUGUGCAGAAUAUUUUUAAUAUCAGAGUGGGAGGAUAUGAGAACCCCAGGUGCAGUUUCUGAGGUGCAGCUUACAAGUUUAAUGGUGUUACUAGAAUCUGAAAAUUCACAGCUUUUUAUGUUGGUAAUGGAGGUGGGUUUGGACCCCUCUGAACAGAUGUAACAAAUUCAUUGCACAUUUACCAGCUGAAUAAUUUCUUAGCAUACCACUCAGUGUACAGUACCUGGUAGCUUCCAUGAUAAAUUGUAGAGCAUCAAUCUCCCAUUCUAUCUUUAGAAAAUCUAGUGAUUUAUUUUUAUUUGGUUUGGUAGCUUUUUUUAAAUGUUUUAUAUGCUGCCCCAGUACCUCAUCAAAAUUGCACAUCCUUUCUAAAUUUCUUUACAUGAAGGUAUAAUUUUUAGCACAGCCUUUGCAAGGAUUUUGUAAAGAGAUUUUGACUUUUUUUAAAAUGUCUCCAUAAUUAUGGAUUAGACUUAAGUUUGGAUUUGGAAGUCAUGUUUAAGUUCAAAAGAUUCCCAAUGUUACAGCUGAUUCUUUACUGGCCUAUUGAUAUAUACUAAAGAUGUCAUGUAAUAUUAAAUCUGAGACUAUCAAAUACUGACGGAAGUGAAAUAAUAAGCUAAAGUUGCUGCUUACAAACUAGGCUGAAGCAACAGUGUUUUAUUAAUCUCAUUGUGUUGUUUUGUUAAAAAUCACAGGAAAGCACUUUGCUUCUUUAUAGGCCAAAAAUUAGACCUUUCUUGGGGUCCUGUCUUCUUCUAGGCCAGAAGGAGUUUUCCACUGAAUUAAUUUUGCAGAAUGUUCUGUAGUGAAAUGAGCCCACAGGAGAAGCAGCUAAUGCAAUUCCUGUUUAAAAAAUAAAUAAAUCGAGCAUGAGCUUUAACUA